AGAGUUUGAUCCUGGCUCAGGAUGAACGCUGGCGGCGUGCUUAACACAUGCAUGUCGAACGAACCUUCGGGUUAGUGGCGGACGGGUGAGUAACGCGUGAGAAUCUGCCCUCAGGAGGGGGAUAACGGCUGGAAACGGCCGCUAAUACCCCAUAUGCCGAGAGGUGAAAUGAAUUUCGCCUGAGGAUGAGCUCGCGUCUGAUUAGCUAGUUGGUGGGGUAAGAGCCUACCAAGGCAUCGAUCAGUAGCUGGUCUGAGAGGAUGAUCAGCCACACUGGGACUGAGACACGGCCCAGACUCCUACGGGAGGCAGCAGUGGGGAAUUUUCCGCAAUGGGCGAAAGCCUGACGGAGCAACGCCGCGUAAGGGAUGAAGGCCUCUGGGCUGUAAACCUCUUUUAUCAAGGAAGAAGAUCUGACGGUACUUGAUGAAUAAGCCACGGCUAAUUCCGUGCCAGCAGCCGCGGUAAUACGGGAGUGGCAAGCGUUAUCCGGAAUUAUUGGGCGUAAAGCGUCCGCAGGCGGCCUGAUAAGUCUGUUGUCAAAGCGUGGAGCUUAACUCCAUUUCGGCAAUGGAAACUGUGAGGCUUGAGUGUGGUAGGGGCAGAGGGAAUUCCCGGUGUAGCGGUGAAAUGCGCAGAUAUCGGGAAGAACACCAGUGGCGAAGGCGCUCUGCUGGGCCAUAACUGACGCUCAUGGACGAAAGCCAGGGGAGCGAAAGGGAUUAGAUACCCCUGUAGUCCUGGCCGUGAACGAUGAACACUAGGUGUCGGGGGAAUCGACCCCCUCGGUGUCGUAGCCAACGCGUUAAGUGUUCCGCCUGGGGAGUACGCACGCAAGUGUGAAACUCAAAGGAAUUGACGGGGGCCCGCACAAGCGGUGGAGUAUGUGGUUUAAUUCGAUGCAACGCGAAGAACCUUACCAGGGUUUGACAUCCUGCGAAUCCCUUGGAAACUUGGGAGUGCCUUCGGGAGCGCAGAGACAGGUGGUGCAUGGCUGUCGUCAGCUCGUGUCGUGAGAUGCUGGGUUAAGUCCCGCAACGAGCGCAACCCACGUCUUUAGUUGCCAGCAUUGAGUUGGGCACUCUAGAGAGACCGCCGGUGAUAAACCGGAGGAAGGUGUGGAUGACGUCAAGUCAUCAUGCCCCUUACAUCCUGGGCUACACACGUACCACAAUGCUACGGACAAAGGGCAGCAAACUCGCGAGAGCUAGCAAAUCCCAUAAACCGUGGCUCAGUUCAGAUCGUAGGCUGCAACUCGCCUACGUGAAGGAGGAAUCGCUAGUAAUCGCAGGUCAGCAUACUGCGGUGAAUACGUUCCCGGGCCUUGUACACACCGCCCGUCACACCAUGGAAGUUGGCCACGCCCGAAGCCGUCACUCCAACCCUUGUGGAGGAGGACGUCGAAGGUGGGGCUGAUGACC
rnacentral:rRNA from 1 species